rnacentral:rRNA from 1 species
UACGUAGGAGGCAAGCGUUGUCCGGAAUUACUGGGCGUAAGCGCGUGUAGGUGGUGGGACAAGUCUGCUGUGAAAGCGCCUGGCUUAACCGGGCGAGGUCGGCGGAAACUGUCCGACUCGAGGACGGUAGAGGGGGGUGGAAUUCCCGGUGUAGUGGUGAAAUGCGUAGAGAUCGGGAGGAACACCUGUGGCGAAGGCGGCCCCCUGGGCCGGCCCUGACACUGAGACGCGAAGGCGUGGGGGAGCGAACAGG